GCCCGGGUGGCGGAACUGGCAGACGCACGGGACUUAAAAUCCCGGGGCCGUAAGGCCGUGCGGGUUCGAUUCCCGCCCCGGGCACCA
rnacentral:tRNA from 1 species